rnacentral:piRNA from 1 species
UAACCAAUCUUGAAACAUUUCUGUGCUGAGU